AGCUCCCUGAGGUUAUUGGUAGUCGGGUUUAGUCCCUUGAGCCGAUAAUCACACUUUUGGAAGUUUCCAGGUUAACUGAUGUGCAUGUCCGCCAGACGGAAAGCCUAAUGUUCUCCGGAGGCUGCCACCUUGAACCCUCGGGUUCAGGGCCGAUACCUGCGCCGCAACCUUGGGGAGUCU
rnacentral:other from 1 species